AACACUUUUAGCAGUUAAAACAACUAAUACUUGAAUGCAGAAUGUUACACCAUCACUUAUGGAUAUAUUAGUUUUUCGCCUCUCACUGCUUAAGCCAUUAAUCUUUCUAGAAUUGUUCUUUGAAACAGAUGCGACCUCACAAAAGAUAUUAACUAUGCUGUCAGACCUGACGAGAUCUCUUAACGAACUCCGUGAGGAGGUCAGAGCCAUCUGCAACACCGGCUGCAAUGAAUCGGUAGAUGCUGGGGUACUGCCUCUGGAUUUGCCCUUGCACAACAUUGAAGAGCUAAACCAUGCAGAGGCAGCUCUUCAAUCACAAGAGGCAAAUAAGGCAAUGGUGAGACGCUUUGCCUUGAUUGGAGGGACCACACUGGAGGUGCGAGUCUGUCGUGUAAUGGCUUAUGCCAUUACAAACGAGCUGGCCUCAGUACUAAACUGGGCAGGGAAAAACCAAGGACCAGACAAAGCAAAAAAGGGCAUUUAAAGAUACUGCGCUGUGCAGAUGCAUAUUUGAUGGCCUGACGCAGCAGUUAGGGGCAAACUCUAUGUCCAAGUUUGUCUUUGCACAAGCAGUCCA